AUUGAACGCUAGCGGGAUGCUUUACACAUGCAAGUCGAACGGCAGCGCGGACUUCGGUCUGGCGGCGAGUGGCGAACGGGUGAGUAAUGUAUCGGAACGUGCCCAGUAGCGGGGGAUAACUACGCGAAAGCGUAGCUAAUACCGCAUACGCCCUACGGGGGAAAGCAGGGGAUCGUAAGACCUUGCACUAUUGGAGCGGCCGAUAUCGGAUUAGCUAGUUGGUGAGGUAACGGCUCACCAAGGCGACGAUCCGUAGCUGGUUUGAGAGGACGACCAGCCACACUGGGACUGAGCCACGGCCCAGACUCCUACGGGAGGCAGCAGUGGGGAAUUUUGGACAAUGGGGGCAACCCUGAUCCAGCCAUCCCGCGUGUGCGAUGAAGGCCUUCGGGUUGUAAAGCACUUUUGGCAGGAAAGAAACGUCGCGGGCUAAUACCCCGUGGAACUGACGGUACCUGCAGAAUAAGCACCGGCUAACUACGUG
rnacentral:rRNA from 1 species